CACCGUGGUCAAUGCACCAUCUUUUAAUUCCGACAACGAUUUGGAAUAGAUGCAGUUGUUCCAAAAGCAAGGUUCUGUAUAAUUGCCCGAGGGAAAGUGGAAAACCCUAAUCCCAGUGUAUUGUAGUAUCUGGUUCCUUCCAACCGUUAUUGUAGCGUCUGUCUCCUCCCUUCAGCCUUUGGGGAUGCGAUUUUGCUACCGCUCCUCCAAAUUGGAUUGUUGUUUUGUCUGUUGGUUGCUGCGUUUUGCAUUUGCAGGUGGAGUGCGCCGAGGCUUUCGGUGCAGCGCUGUGAGCCUGUUUUUGAGGCUAGAUGUAAAUCUAGUACCCAGAAUGGGCGAACAUUGUUUGCGUUGUGCGUUCUGGCGUUGGUAUUCGCGGGCACUUGUGGUGCCGAAUUGGCGAUGGGUGGCAGCCGCAUGCGACAUGUGCCCAGAGUUAGUUCGGUCUUGCUUGUGCUCACAACGCCAAUCCUCGGUGUAAAAGCCGGUCAUCUGUCCGACCCGUCUUGAAACACGGACCAAGGAGUUUAGCGUGUGCGCGAGUCAUUGGGCGUUGAAAACCCAAAGGCGCAGUGAAAGUGAAUGACUCCCUCGUGGAGCUGAUGUGCGACCCUGCGUACUGCGGUGCGUGGGGGCAGCAUAGUCCCGUCUUGUCCGCUUGCGGUGGGGCGGAGAAAGAGCGUACGCGCUGAGACCCGAAAGAUGGUGAACUAUUCCUGAGCAGGACGAAGCCAGAGGAAACUCUGGUGGAAGUCAGAAGUUAUUUUCUUGCCGCUACAAGUAUUCGUGAAGUUGUAGUAGUUCUACCUUCGGGGGGGGUUUCUUUCAGAA
rnacentral:rRNA from 1 species